UGUUGUUGUUAUUCAGAAUGAGAUGAGGAAGGUGUUGUUGUUAUUCAGGAUGAGAUGAGGAAGGUGUUGUUGUUAUUCAGGAUCAGAUGAGGAAGGUGAGGGAAAACCUAGCCGUUGUUGUUAUUCAGGAUGAGAUGAGGAAGGUGUUGUUGUUAUUCAGGAUGAGAUGAGGAAGGUGUUGUUGUUAUUCAGGAUGAGAUGAGGAAGGUGUUGUUGUUAUUCAGGAUGAGAUGAGGAAGGUGAGGGAAAACCUAGCCGUUGUUGUUAUUCAGGAUGAGAUGAGGAAGGUGUUGUUGUUAUUCAGGAUGAGAUGAGGAAGGUGUUGUUGUUAUUCAGGAUCAGAUGAGGAAGGUGAGGGAAAACCUAGCCGUUGUUGUUAUUCAGGAUGAGAUGAGGAAGGUGUUGUUGUUAUUCAGGAUGAGAUGAGGAAGGUGUUGUUGUUAUUCAGGAUGAGAUGAGGAAGGUGUUGUUGUUAUUCAGGAUGAGAUGAGGAAGGUGAGGGAAAACCUAGCCGUUGUUGUUAUUCAGGAUGAGAUGAGGAAGGUGUUGUUGUUAUUCAGGAUGAGAUGAGGAAGGUGUUGUUGUUAUUCAGGAUGAGAUGAGGAAGGUGUUGUUGUUAUUCAGGAUGAGAUGAGGAAGGUGUUGUUGUUAUUCAGGAUGAGAUGAGGAAGGUGUUGUUGUUAUUCAGGAUGAGAUGAGGAAGGUGUUGUUGUUAUUCAGGAUGAGAUGAGG